CUCAUGGAGCUGCACAUUUUCAGUGCUGAAAGGUCAAGGUCAAUGUCAUCCUUCAAGGUUAAAGGUCAUAUAUAUGGGUCAAAAUCGCUCAUUUAAUGUACACUUUUGCAAUAUUGAAGAUAGCAACUUGAUAUUUGGCAUGCAUGUGUAUCUCAUGGAGCUGCACAUUUUGAGAAGUGAAAGGUUAAGGUCAAGGUCAUCCUUCAAGGUCAGAGGUCAAAUAUAUGUGGCCCAAAUCGCUUAUUUUAUAAAUACUUUUGCAAUAUUGAAGAUAGCAACUUGAUAUUUGGCAUGCAUGUGCAUCUCAUGGAGCUGCACAUUUUGAGUGGUGAAAGGUCAAGGUCAUCCUUCAAGGUCAGAGGUCAAAUAUAUGUGGCCAGAAUUGCUCAUUUUAUGAAUACUUUUGCAAUAUUGAAGAUAGCAACUUGAUAUUUGGCAUGCAUGUGUAUCUCAUGGAGCUGCACAUUUUGAGUGGUAAAGGUCAAGGUCAUCCUUCAAGGUCAGAGGUCAAAUAUAUGUGGCCCAAAUCGCUUAUUUUAUAAAUACUUUUGCAAUAUUGAAGAUAGCAACUUGAUAUUUGGCAUGCAUGUGCAUCUCAUGGAGCUGCACAUUUUGAGUGGUGAAAGGUCAAGGUCAUCCUUCAAGGUCAGAGGUCAAAUAUAUGUGGCCAGAAUUGCUCAUUUUAUGAAUACUUUUGCAAUAUUGAAGAUAGCAACUUGAUAUUUGGCAUGCAUGUGCAUCUCAUGGAGCUGCACAUUUUGAGUGGUGAAAGGUCAAGGUCAUCCUUCAAGGUCAGAGGUCAAAUAUAUGUUGCUCAAAUAGCUUAUUUUAUGAACACUUUGCAAUAUUGAAGAUAGCAACUUGAUAUUCGGCAUGCAUGUGU